CAUUGACAGUUCACCCACCCCACUGUCCGCCAGGGAAUUACGAGCAUUAGCUUAAAACCCAAAGGACUUGGCGGUGCUUCAAACCCACCUAGAGGAGCCUGUUCUAGAACCGAUGAUCCCCGUUCAACCUCACCCCUUCUAGCUUUUUCCGCCUAUAUACCACCGUCGCCAGUUUACCCUGUGAAGGUUUGAUAGUAAACACAAUCGGCACAGCCCAAGACGUCAGGUCGAGGUGUAGUGAAUGGAGGGGGAAGAAAUGGGCUACAUUUCCUAAUACUAGGACAUACGAAUGAUGUGCUGAAACGCACUUCUGAAGGAGGAUUUAGCAGUAAGUAGAGA
rnacentral:rRNA from 1 species